GACGAACGCUGGCGGCGUGCCUAAUACAUGCAAGUAGAACGCUGAAGCGAGGAGCUUGCUCUUCUUGGAUGAGUUGCGAACGGGUGAGUAACGCGUAGGUAACCUGCCUUGUAGCGGGGGAUAACUAUUGGAAACGAUAGCUAAUACCGCAUAACAAUGGAUGACACAUGUCAUUUAUUUGAAAGGGGCAAUUGCUCCACUACAAGAUGGACCUGCGUUGUAUUAGCUAGUAGGUGAGGUAAUGGCUCACCUAGGCGACGAUACAUAGCCGACCUGAGAGGGUGAUCGGCCACACUGGGACUGAGACACGGCCCAGACUCCUACGGGAGGCAGCAGUAGGGAAUCUUCGGCAAUGGGGGCAACCCUGACCGAGCAACGCCGCGUGAGUGAAGAAGGUUUUCGGAUCGUAAAGCUCUGUUGUAGGUCAAGAACGGGUGUGAGAGUGGAAAGUUCACACUGUGACGGUAGCUUACCAGAAAGGGACGGCUAACUACGUG
rnacentral:rRNA from 1 species